GUCAGACAAUGCUCAUCAGCAGAGCCAACAAGGAAUUUUAUUUUAAAACUACGUGGAUUAGACCAUUUAUCCAGACAGAUGUUUUCAUGGGAGAGUAUUGAAGUCCUCCUGGGCAAGACUGACAGAAUGAAAACGACUUCUACUACCCAGAGGUUCCAGACACCUGGGCCAGGGAACCUCAACUUAGCAUUCAUCAGAUACAGCAAAGAUUCCGGAUCCUCUGUUCAUUGUCAGGUACUCAAGGCAUUUUUAUUACAUGAAUGACACCGUGCUGGACAUUGAAGAUGCCGAAGAGGACACGAAAAGCUGCCGCUUGGGGAGCUGGUGGACGAGACAAACAGGUAAGCAAUACUGUGAAGGUGCCAGGCGGCGAGGCAGGGAAGGUGAGAUUUC
rnacentral:lncRNA from 1 species